GACAGAGGUGCCGAGCGUUAGGCGGAAUCACUGGGCUUAAAGCGUGUGUAGGCGGGUCGUUAAGUGUCUUGUGAAAUCCCCCGGCUCAACCGGGGAAUGGCUGGGCAUACUAGCGAUCUUGAGCAGUCUAGGGGCAGAUGGAACAAGUGGUGGAGCGGUGAAAUGCGUAGAUAUCGUUUGGAACGCCAAUGGUGAAAACAGGUUGCUGGGGUUAUGCUGACGCUGAGGAGCGAAAGCGUGGGGAGCGAACAGG
rnacentral:rRNA from 1 species